rnacentral:rRNA from 1 species
GACCUACGGGAGGCAGCAGUGAGGAAUAUUGGUCAAUGGGCGGAAGCCUGAACCAGCCAAGUCGCGUGAGGGGAGAAGGCCCUGCGGGUCGCAGACCUCUUUGGCCGGGGAGCACUGCCGCCGACGUGUCGGCGGCCGGAGCGUACCCGUAGAACAAGCAUCGGCUAACUCCGUUCCAGCAGCCGCGGUAAUCCGGAGGCUGCGAGCGUUAUCCGGCUUUAUUGGGUUUCAAGGGUGCGCAGGCUGCACGGCCCGCCGGCGGUCCCAUCGC